rnacentral:tRNA from 1 species
GGAGAGGUGGCUGAGUUUGGCCGAAGGCGCACGACUGGAAAUCGUGUAGACGAUUCCUCGUCUCGUGGGUUCAAAUCCCACCCUCUCCG